CCCGCUCCUGGUGACAGGAGACAGCCAUCGCCGGUUGAAUAGGGCCAGGCAGGAGGUUCUCGGCUGGAGGUGAGGGAACCCACUGCCUUACCAGUAUUUCUCCACAGCUCGAGGAGAGGUGGAGACAGUAUCCUGAGAGAGACCCAGGAGCUCCAACCAGGAUGUGUCCCAGGGGUAGUCCACAGAUUCCAAACUGGUGCUGGGCACAGGGCCAUCUCUUUUCUGGAGUUCAAACAGUUAAACAAAGGCAAAUGAAGUAGAGAGCCUCAUGUCUUCAGGUAUUCCCAUAGCCUUGACCUCCAGAUUUAAAAUAAACUGCUUUUUUUGUGUUUAACCUUGAACAUAAUCAGUCAGGCCAGGAUGUGGAUCCUGAUACAAG
rnacentral:lncRNA from 1 species